ACUGGGCGUCUCCUGACGCUGAAGCGCUAAGGCCAGGGGAGCGAAGGGGAUUAGAUACCCCCGUAGUCCUGGCUUCAAACUAUGUGGGCUUGGUGUCGGCUCCCGAUAGAGAGUCGUUGCCGGAGCUAACGUGUUAAGCCCACCGCCUGGGGAUUACGUCCGCAAGGAUGAAACUCAAGGGAAUUGACGGGGGCCCACACAACCGGUGGAGCACGUGGUUUAAUUCGAUGAUAAGCGAAGAACCUUACCAGGGCUUGACCUAGCGGUGGUGGAUCCUGAAAAGGAAACGACCUCAAGCUUUGCUUGAGGAGCCGUGGCAGGUAUUGCAUGGCUGUCGUCAGCUCGUGUCGUGGGACGUUGGGUUAAGUCCCGUAACGAGCGCAACCCCUGCCCUUAAUUGCCAGCGGGUAAUGCCGGGGACUAUAAGGGGACUGCCGGAGAAUAUCCGGAGGAAGGAGGGGAUGACGUCAAGUCAUUAUGAUCCUUAUGCUCUGGGCGACACACGUGCUACAAUGGGUACUACAGUGAGGAGCAAGUCCGCAAGGACCAGCAAAUCUCAAAAAGGUGCCCUCAGUGCGGAUUGGGGUCUGCAACUCGACCCCAUGAAGAUGGAAUCGGUAGUAAUCGCGGGUCAGCCAUA
rnacentral:rRNA from 1 species